UACAGAGGUGGCAAGCGUUGUUCGGAAUUACUGGGCGUAAAGGGCGCGUAGGCGGUCUUCUAAGUCCUGUGUGAAAUCCCUCGGCUCAACUGAGGAACUGCACGGGAUACUGGAUGACUUGAGUUCGGGAGAGGGAAGCGGAAUUCCGGGUGUAGCGGUGAAAUGCGUAGAUAUCCGGAGGAACACCGGUGGCGAAGGCGGGAUCCUGGGCCAGUACUGACGCUGAGGAGCGAAAGCGUGGGGAGCAAACAGG
rnacentral:rRNA from 1 species